rnacentral:rRNA from 1 species
GAGGAAAAGAAACCAACCGGGAUUGCCUUAGUAACGGCGAGUGAAGCGGCAAAAGCUCAAAUUUGAAAUCUGGUACCUUCGGUGCCCGAGUUGUAAUUUGGAGAGGGCAACUUUGGGGCCGUUCCUUGUCUAUGUUCCUUGGAACAGGACGUCAUAGAGGGUGAGAAUCCCGUGUGGCGAGGAGUGCGGUUCUUUGUAAAGUGCCUUCGAAGAGUCGAGUUGUUUGGGAAUGCAGCUCUAAGUGGGUGGUAAAUUCCAUCUAAAGCUAAAUAUUGGCGAGAGACCGAUAGCGAACAAGUACAGUGAUGGAAAGAUGAAAAGAACUUUGAAAAGAGAGUGAAAAAGUACGUGAAAUUGUUGAAAGGGAAGGGCAUUUGAUCAGACAUGGUGUUUUGUGCCCUCUGCUCCUUGUGGGUAGGGGAAUCUCGCAUUUCACUGGGCCAGCAUCAGUUUUGGUGGCAGGAUAAAUCCAUAGGAAUGUAGCUUGCCUCGGUAAGUAUUAUAGCCUGUGGGAAUACUGCCAGCUGGGACUGAGGACUGCGACGUAAGUCAAGGAUGCUGGCAUAAUGGUUAUAUGCCGCCCGUCUUGAAACACGGACC